rnacentral:rRNA from 1 species
CUCUUUUGUUUGCUUGUUUUCCUUUCCCCGUGCUUUAUUUGUGGGGCACGAAGGGGAGAGGAGGCGCUAGGGGGAGAGGGGAGAGGAGAGGCAGCGGCGGCGAGCGGCGACUCAGGGGUCGUGGCGGCGCCGGGGAGGGAGACAAUUGAACUCUGAACCCUCCACGAAGAACUAGACCUCGACACCCGCCAACGGAGCGCAGGUCUAACUAGUACUCGAGGUCUUCGGAGCAGGCUAGGGGCCAUAGGACAUCACGACAUUUGCUUACGAAAAGGAUGUUAAGUGCGGCGGGUUCUUCGAUGAUAGUCAUAAGAUUAUGGUACUUCGAUGUCUGUGGCGUUCGACCGGUCUACGAAAACGGAGCGUUUAAUACCUUUAGAUGAGCUAACGUCUGGUGGGAAGAGUAGGUCUCCGCCUGACAUAGUUUGACAACGAGACUGGAAUCAUGGUGAAUGUGUCUCGUUGAAGGGUCGAUAAAUCGUGAAUUACAAAACGUUCUGGUUAGUUUACGCUUUGUUUUGUUAUAAGCAUUUCAGGAACAGUAGGACUUAGGAUUAAGACCUAAGGCAUCGAGAGCACUCCAAAAGAUGUUCUUUCACGUUAGUUGUGACUUCGAAAGUCCGAAGCGCUACCUCCAACAACUUUGUCGUAUACGACCAGUACGUUUCCACGAACGAAGAUGACAACUGGAGUCAUGUACGGGACUACCGUAAUAGACACAACCCCCACUACCUCAGCAUUUACUCCAACACUUACCAAAUGAACCAUCUCUGCUAAACUUUCUCCGCGAAGUUGAAGGAUAACCAUAUCAAGGACGACCAAGGCUAUUAAGUAAUCAUACCUCACAAGAACCGUAGUCCCUAGGACACAGUCGUCGUUGACGAAAUCGAUUCCCACCAAAGUGUGGCUAACUACACAAACGACAUUUUACCUAGGUUCGACCUCAAUGAGUAAAGCCAAACUGCCGAAGGAUGACACCAAAACAUCGACUACAAGACGUUAAUAGACUUUUGAAGGCGGACGUCGAACCCGGGAAGGCAAUGCAGUAGCGACCGUAAGAAUUCAAAAACAGGGACGGGGUUAUGUUUAAACUCCACCUAAUAGACGGAAAUAGUGGUCUCUUUUUAGGAUUGAACCUCAGUGGCUAACUUUUUACGGUACCGGUCGAAAGACUACUGUCGUUCCAAUUCUCACCAUGAAUAUACCUAUCAUCGUGACCUCUAUUAACCCAAUUCUCCUUUCCCCUCAAAGAACCGUAAAACCAGACGUUGGUGAAGACGUUCGGACGGGUCCCCAAUAAAAGAGGUCAACAACGUGGUUUUCGAGUCGUACUACUACCGUCAGACCUGAACUAAGAACAUGUACCUUCACCUUCUGAGUCUAAUAAAACGAAGAAACAACGGAUAGUCAAAACGACCGUAGAAGAUGAGGGAAAACACCUUAUACAGUUCCAUUUUGUUCAUUUCUAAUCCGGUCACCCGUCAUGGGUGUCACCAACACCACAGCUGCCGCUCGAAGAAGUCCGCCUUCCGGUUGGUCUUACCGUCACGAGAGACGAGGGUCAUGUUCCGGCCAACGAACCGGCCGUAGGGUCUUGUAUCUUCAUCCAAACACUGAGUAGGUCUUCAGCACGACUGUCAAGGCUCGUUAUGAUGUUACAUGGGUAAUUUAAUUCACCAAUUGUUUCAUAACAACGUGACAUUUUUACACAGAAGAAGGUAAUAAAAGUGGGUAAGAGAAUUCCAACAUCUAGACGUCUACUUGAGGUCCAAACAUCCGGGGGUAACUACCCGUUCACAUAUAAGGUCCUUUUCACUCCGAAGGAAGAGAAGAAA